CAGCCGCCACGGUAAUACGAAGGGGGCUAGCGUUGUUCGGAUUAACUGGGCGUAAAGGGCGCGUAGGCGGGUUUUUAAGUCAGAGGUGAAAUCCCAAGGCUCAACCUUGGAACUGCCUUUGAUACUGGAAGUCUUGAGUCCGGGAGAGGUGAGUGGAACUGCGAGUGUAGAGGUGAAAUUCGUAGAUAUUCGCAGGAACACCAGUGGCGAAGGCGGCUCUCUGGACGACUGUUGACGCUGAGGUGCGAAAGCGUGGGGAGCAAACAGGAUUAGAUACCCGUGUAGUCCCUGUCUCUUAUAC
rnacentral:rRNA from 1 species